UUUCUAACCACCCCAAAAAAAGUUAAACAAGUACCAUGAUAACUAACAAAACAAGACUAUUCAUUCGGUAACAAAAUAUAUAUAAACAAUAAAUUACAUGUCUCUGACCAAAUUUGAUCUAGAUAUACUUUUUGCUUAUAUUUUAUUAUGAUCUAGAGAUAUAUAUUUUUUUACUUAUAUUUUAUUAAGAAGGGAGUAACAUUUUGGUGUAGCUAGCUAGCCAGUGCCUGUGACACCAAGGUCUUGCUUAUUCUCAUCUUUACCAGCACCAAAGACAGGACCACCUUUUCCAGCAGGAUCGUGAACCUUCUCUUGCAACUUAUCCACUUGAAUGCCACCUUGAUCCUCUUUUGAAAGCAAAUUAGUCCUUGUACGAUUCUCUCCUCCUUCUAUUGAUUCAUAUGUUGUUGCUGUUUUUGACUCCUUUGGUUGUGCUCCUUGUGCCCCUGACAUCCUCUCUAAUAAUUCACUUUUUAUUUAUUGAUUUUUCACUUUUUUAUCUGCUCAUUUAAUUUCUACUAACACUAUUUUAUAGUGGCAUUGCAUUAUACCAACAACAACCUACGUGUUAUGUUAACAUGCCAUGAGUCUACACGUGUGCCAUGACUUGUGCCAAAUGUCAUUUUUGUUUUCCUCUUCUGCCACGUUUUGUUUAACGGAUAUUUUUCUUAUGAACUUUAAGUUUUUUGUAGAAGUAUCUAAAUUAUUAUUCUUAACUGUUUAAAAGUAUUAGUUGAAUAUUUUUGAGAUACUUCACACACACACAUAUAUAUAUAUAUAUUUAGGAAAGAUGAAGGAAAUAAAAAAGUGAAAAAAGUGUGAGACACCAAAUUGUAUCAAAGAAAGAGAAGCAUAGUCUUGAUUUUUUUAUGAAUUGUUUCAUAAUUUUUUUAUGAAAUGUGUUAUAUUGUUGACUUAACUCCUCUUUCUUUGAUUUUCAUUUCUAUAAUCUAUUCAAUGUAAGUUGUAACAUUAUGAAAUAAUUGUAAAAAAAAAAAAUAAAGACUUUACUUGAAAUUAUAGACAGCCAACCCAACCAAAAACCCUAGGAAAGCACCAGCUAUGACUUCAACCUCAGUAUGACCAACAGUUUCUUUCAAUUGCAGUAGACCAUCACUAACCAACUUUGAGAUUUGUUUUGAAUCUUCUGAGAACAAGUCAGAGGAUAGUAACUCCUCAUCACUUAGCUUUAUUUUGCUUCCUGAUUUAACUAAUACACUUGCAUUAGCCUGUUGUGGUUCCAAAGACUUAGCUUCUAGAGACAAAAGGGACUUUUCGUGAGCUUCUAAUUUUGGUGGAUUGGAUGAAUCAGGAUGAGAGUUGAUCAAAGCAUCUUUAUGUUUGGAAUGUAAAUGGUUGAGAUGCAUUUGGAGAAGUAGUUUGUUUACGGUCUUAGCAUGAAUCCCUACUUCUCUUCUUACACCCUGCAAAUCAUGAAGUCAUAGUCUCAAUUGUCAUCCAACCAGAUCACAUUCACUGAUAAAAUAAACAAUCAAGUUCAAUAAGCAGAACAGCAUGAUAAAGGGAAUUUGCUUGGAGAAAAGUUGUGUCUGCUGGACUUAAGUGCAUGUUUGAAUUUACCAUGAAUUUAAAAAAAUUGAGGCAGAUGGUUUUGUUGAAGCUCUAAAGUGUAGUUUUUGCUUAAACCACAAUGGCACACUAUGAUUCAACCAAACUCUCCAUGAAUGGACAAUGUUUAAACAACUGACUAUGGACAAUGUUUGGUCAUAAUGACCAUAAUUACAGGGUGAAACAAAAAGUUAGUUUCAAGAAAUAUAUGAAGUUUCACAAUAAAUAAGUAAACUAUAGUGUUUGCAAUGAACAAUAAACGGUAAGACUAGUAGGCAUCAUUAAAGGUUUUUAACUAUGUAGCACAUGUCUGGUGUCCAACAUGUAUCGGUGUCGAGCACCAAUGUAACACUGAAAAAUGUAGUUCCUAAUUAUAUUCAAUUACAUCUGU
rnacentral:lncRNA from 1 species